rnacentral:lncRNA from 1 species
AGGGAGAAAUUGGAUGUACGAGGGUUGAAGGUGAGAUCUCCUCUUGUAAAAUUUUUUUUCUCAUAGUGAAGUUUGCGUGCCCCGUAGAAGCGAGCCCUUUUUUGGCUGAUCUACGUAUUUGAUUGUUUUUAUUUUAUUUCUUCUUUCUUCCUGCUGCAUCGCGCAGUAUCGAAAAGGUCCUGCGAUGUGGUAUCCUGGCCAAACAUCUACCCAAGAAGUGGUAUCAGAGUGAGGUGGUACA